rnacentral:rRNA from 1 species
UACGGAGGGGGCUAGCGUUGUUCGGAAUUACUGGGCGUAAAGCGCACGUAGGCGGCUUUGCAAGUUAGAGGUGAAAGCCCGGGGCUCAACUCCGGAAUUGCCUUUAAAACUGCAUCGCUAGAAUUGUGGAGAGGUAAGUGGAAUUCCGAGUGUAGAGGUGAAAUUCGUAGAUAUUCGGAAGAAACACCAGUGGCGAAGGCGACUUACUGGACACAUAUUGACGCUGAGGUGCGAAAAGCGUGGGGGAGCAAACAGG